GGUGGUUCUCAGAUGACACAUCCAAGAACCAGGGUCCCUCCUCUCUGGUUCUGGGGUACAUCACCCAAGAAGCACU
rfam:Myotis davidii contig316399, whole genome shotgun sequence.